ensembl:rRNA 5S_rRNA 5S ribosomal RNA
CUCUAUGGCCAUACCACCCUGAAUGUACGCCCAAUCUCAUCUGAUCUCAGAAGCUAAGAAAGUUCAGGCCUGAUUAGUACUUGGAUGGGAAACUGCCUGGGAAUAUCUGCUGCUGUGGGAU